rnacentral:rRNA from 1 species
UGGAGUAUGUGGUUUAAUUCGAUGCAACGCGAAGAACUUACCUGGUCUUGACAUCCCGGAGACCCUUAGGAAACUAGGGGUGCUUCCAUCUGGAAGAAUCUGGAGACAGGUGCUGCAUGGCUGUCGUCAGCUCGUGUCGUGAGAUGUUGGGUUAAGUCCCGCAACGAGCGCAACCCUUGCCUUUAGUUGCCAGCAGUUCGGCUGGGCACUCUAAAGGGACUGCCGGUGUUAAACCGGAGGAAGGUGGGGAUGACGUCAAGUCCUCAUGGCCUUUAUGACCAGGGCUACACACGUACUACAAUGGCCGAUACAAAGGGCAGCGACACUGCGAGGUGAAGCCAAUCCCGUAAAAUCGGUCUCAGUCCGGAUUGGAGUCUGCAACUCGACUCCAUGAAGUUGGAAUCGCUAGUAAUCGUGGAUCAGCAUGCCACGGUGAAUACGUUCCCGGGCCUU